rnacentral:rRNA from 1 species
CCUACGAGAGGCAGCAGUGAGGAAUAUUGGUCAAUGGGCGUAAGCCUGAACCAGCCAAGUCGCGUGAGGGAUGAAGGUUCUAUGGAUCGUAAACCUCUUUUAUAAGGGAAUAAAGUUUGGGACGUGUCCUAUUUUGUAUGUACCUUAUGACUAAGGAUCGGCUAACUCCUGGCCAGCAGCCGCGGUAAUACGGAGGAUCCGAGCGUUCUCCGGAUUUAUUGGGUUUAAAGGGUGCGUAGGCGGCCUUUUAAGUCAGGGGUGAAAGUCUGUGGCUAAACCAGAGAAUUGCCGUUGAAACUGGGGGGCUUGAGUAGGUUUGAGGCAGGCGGAAUGCGUGGUGUAGCGGUGAAAGGCUUAGAUAUCACGCAGAACCCCGAUUGCGAAGGAAGCCUGCCAAGCCAUGACUGACGCUGAUGCACGAAAGCGUGGGGAUCAAACAGGAUUAGAUACCCCUGUAGUC